rnacentral:lncRNA from 10 species
CCUCAGCCUCCCGAGUAGCUGGCACUACAAGCGUGUGCCACCACACCCAGCUAACUUUUGUAUUUUUAGUAGAGACAGGGUUUCACCAUGUUGGCCAGGAUUGUCUUGAUCUCUUGACCUCAUGAUCUGCCCGCCUGGGCCUCCCAAAGUGCUGGGAUUAUAGGCGUGAGCCACUGUGCCCGGCUGACUCUGGAAUUUCUUUUGCCGAAAGAGCGCACACCAACUUCCAGAGCAUCUACCUGGCACUUCCCUGGAGAUUUCCAGGUAGCACACUGUUACCACAGAUCCUUGGACAAGGAAAAAAGAAGAGAUCUCCCAAUUGGAAUCACACAUUUUAUUGACCAAUACUGGUUCACUCUCCUGUGUUCACUUGUAGUGAAAGAACCUUGACUUGAACUCAAAGCCCUGUGUGGUAAGGUGAUCACAUAAUUUAUAUAUGAAAUAACCGGCCGGGCGCGGUGGCUCACACCUGUAAUCCCAACACUUUG